UUGGCUUCCUGAAGACCUCUUCAUCCUGCAGAAGGUGCAACUCCACAGCGUCCUGAGAGGUUGGACAUAAGGGGGGAUGUGACAGUCCUCAUGGAAGACUCGUGGACAAGUACCGCAGCGGAGAAGUUGUCCCCCUUGACAGCACACCUCACAUUCAUCCGAGUUUUUCCGCUGCAAGGGCAGAUAACGUGGGCACCGCUAGGACCACGGAGACCCACAAAUGCUGACCCUGUGGGGUUCUAGAACACAUCAUUUUUGUGUGUGCCAGAGUGGAUAUCCAAACCCAAUUUUUGGUGGGGGGAGCUGAUGCCACCUCCCUGGGGGAAACUGCAAGACAAACGGCACAACAAGCAGAGAGUCUGGGUGGUGACCACUGCCACCAGGACUUUUCUUCUCUGGCCGUGGCUUGCUAACGGGUUCUGUUGCGUUUUGAGCUGUGCCGCUGCCUGCUGGCAAGCUUGUGCUUUGAGCUGGGCCACUCUGGGCAGCAUUUGCUGAGCCCGCCAAGCCUCUAUUAAUAGAUCUAACUGACCAAAGUAAGAAAUGAUGAUAACUGGCAUUUAGGUGCAGGAGUACGGGAACUGCUGUUCCUGGUGCCUUGCCUAACUGCCCCAUGGUCGUAACGUAACAUGGCCCUAAAAUGUUCCACAGUGGGCAUGGAUGCUGUGACCCAGUAAAUAACACAUUAAAAUAAUGAAAAUUAUCUUUGGCACUUACAAUCGGCUUUACAAAAUGGAACUCUAUGGACCUUCUCUGUUAAAAUAUUUAA
rnacentral:antisense_RNA from 1 species